ACGCUCGACACCUACGGGAGGCAGCAGUGGGGAAUAUUGCACAAUGGGGGAAACCCUGAUGCAGCGACGCCGCGUGAGUGAAGAAGUAUUUCGGUACGUAAAGCUCUAUCAGCAGGGAAGAAGAUGACGGUACCUGAGUAAGAAGCCCCGGCUAACUACGUGUCAGCAGCCGCGGUAAUCUGAGCGGGCUGGCAAGGC
rnacentral:rRNA from 1 species